UCCUAAAAACACUCAUUUGGUUACUCCCGAGGCUUUAUCCUCCAAGGUCCACAUGAGGAUUGCAACCUGUGUGCAGGCGCUCGGGGCGUGCGCGCCGACGGAGGCCCGGCUGAGUCUGAGGCCACAUGGGUGAAAAUCAGCCACCCCACCGAUGCCCACAGCCCCAGAGGACCAAGAGGUCAGCAAACAUCCGGAAAAGAAAGCAGACAGUGAGAGAGACCUCGGGGCCCAGCCCAGCACGUCAGAGGUCAAAACCCGAGCUCCCAGCCAGGAGCCUCCACACAUUUGGCUGAGACGUGUCCCCCUCUGUGGCCCUGCGAGCGUGGCCUGUGGACUCUGAAUUGCAAAGGUUUUAGUGGCCCCAGUGGUUCAAGGUCAUGCUCCAGACUUCACCUCAGUGGAAAGAAGCAGGGCCCAGGAUGUGUCCAAAGUGAGCGACGGUCACGCAGCCUCAUCUACCCUCACUGGGCCAGGAUGCAGUGGUGUUGGUGCCGAAAGUGCGCACUGGAUUUUCUACGAGUGGAAUAUGCAGGGCACACUGCUUCCUUGAUGUUCAGGAGGGUACAGGAAGAGGAGGGAAGAGUCUCAGCGCAUAAGCCCGGAGCCUGAUCCUUCCUGGGGUCUGAGCACCGGAGCCUUGACGUCCCCGUCUGCAAAAUGGGAUGGCACGACUGACAACAACUGUUGGUUCCCGGCCAAGGCACAGCUCCGAGCACCUUCGUCCCUCCUUUGAGAAGGCGACACUCACAGCUACACACAGGGAGCACUUACUAUGCGCCGGCCCGGCGCCAAGCCCGUCGUGCAGGCAACACCUUAAUCCUCGCCGUUGUCUGGUGAGGUGGACACUGACUGUUACUCUCUCCCCGCGUCCCUAUUGGGGAAACUGAGGCCCCAGGAGGACUGGUAGUUUCCAUGGUUAGGAAGUUGGGGGGCUAGGAGGUGAGCCCCGCAGUGGGGCCCCAGGACCUGGGCUUGGGGCUGCCACACCACGACCCCCCCAAGCCGGGUCCCCAGGGGCCAGGGCCAUGCGUGUCAUCGUCCUCAUCGUGCUCUGACACUGCCAGGCAGCCCAGGAGGGAGGCAGCGAGGUUUAGGGGAGACAGGUCUCCCUCCUUCCCGGGCGCAGAGGGGCAGGGGCCCUGCGGGUGCUCCUACGUGACCAGCGAGGGCACAGCCCCACUCCGUGUGGGAGGAAGCCGCGGCGGGGCUGGAGACCGCGCUGGGGCAGCUGCACAGCCAGACACCAGGAAGGAAAGCCAGAUCGCCUGCUGCCCUUCCGGCGGGGCCGGGGGCCCUGGCCAGCGAGGAGUGGGGCUGCAAGGGCAGGCAUCCCCUGUAAUUCCUGGGCCUCCGUGUUCAGAUUUGGGGCUUCUCAGCAAGAUGCCCUGGGACCAGACUCUAGAGGCUGGCAGACAAAUGUUUCAGCCGUACUCGAGCAAUUCCUAACUGGGGGCCUCAGAGCCUCGCAGCCCCCCACCCAUCGCCGCCGCGCCUGCCGUCCCUCGGGGCCUUCAGUGCUGCCAGGACCCUCCCAGGCCUUGGGAGGAGGCCUCCCUGCAAAGUUGCCAGAGGAUUUAGAAGCCUCAAGGGGGCCAAGGGGCCACCUUGCAGUCCAACUGUGGGAGAGAGGAAGUGCCCUCCCGCCCCCACUGAGGCCACACCUGCCCGGGGGCUCGGGCUGUUACCGUUCCACGAGGCCGUGGAGUAAGGUGUUUGGGCCUCAGCCCUGUAUCUAGGCAGGCUUCCUUGCUCCUUGCCCCAAUACUGUGUGGCGUCAGGAAAAUGAAUUCACCUCUCUGGACUUGAGUUAUGCUCCAUUCAAGGGGACUAAAAGUAGCUCUUACCGCAUGGGCUCGUGGGUUCAGUGGAUUGGUGCUAUGUAGUGCUUAGAA